CCUACGGGAGGCUGCAGUGAGGAAUAUUGGUCAAUGGCCGAGAGGCUGAACCAGCCAAGUCGCGUGAGGGAAGACGGCCCUACGGGUUGUAAACCUCUUUUGUCGGGGAGUAAAGCGAGUCACGUGUGACUCAUUGAGAGUACCCGAAGAAAAAGCAUCGGCUAACUCCGUGCCAGCAGCCGCGGUAAUACGGAGGAUGCGAGCGUUAUCCGGAUUUAUUGGGUUUAAAGGGUGCGCAGGCGGAGGUGCAAGUCAGCGGUCAAAUUGCGGGGCUCAACCCCGUACUGCCGUUGAAACUGCAUGCCUUGAGUGCGCGAGAGGUAUGCGGAAGGCGUGGUGUAGCGGUGAAAUGCAUAGAUAUCACGAAGAACUCCGAUUGCGAAGGCAGCAUACCGGAGCGCAACUGACGCUGAUGCACGAAAGCGUGGGUAUCGAACAGGAUUAGAUACCCCAGUAGUC
rnacentral:rRNA from 1 species